GAUGAACGCUGGCGGCGUGCUUAACACAUGCAAGUCGAACGGAAAGGCCCAGCUUUCGUGGGGUGUUCGUGUCGAACGGGUGAGUAAAACGCGAGAAACCUCCGCUCAACUCUUUGGGAUGCCUUCGAGACAGUGGGUAUAACCCCGUAUAGGCGUUCACGCCAUGUGGUGUGGGUUGGAGAGUUUUGGCGGUUGGGGAUGGACGCGCGGUUUAUCAGCUUGUUGGUGGGGUAGUGGCUCACCAAGGCGAUGACGGGUAGCCGGCCUGAGAGGGUGACCGGCCACAAUGGGACUGAGAGACGGCCCAGACUCCUACGGGAGGCAGCAGUGGGGAAUAUUGCACAAUGGGCGCAAGCCUGAUGCAGCAACGCCGCGUGCGGGAUGACGGCCUUCGGGUUGUAAACCGCUUUCAGUUGGGACGAAGCGAAAGUGACGGUAACUGGAGAAGAAGCACCGGCUAACUACGUG
rnacentral:rRNA from 1 species